rnacentral:rRNA from 1 species
UCUCUCUUGAGUGGAUCCUGAGUACGGCGGAGCACGUGAAAUUCCGUCGGAAUCUGGGAGGACCAUCUCCUAAGGCUAAAUACUCUCUAGUGACCGAUAGUGAACCAGUACCGUGAGGGAAAGGUGAAAAGUACCCCGGAAGGGGAGUGAAAUAGAACCUGAAACCGUGUGCUUACAAGUAGUCAGAGCCCGUUAAUGGGUGAUGGCGUGCCUUUUGUAGAAUGAACCGGCGAGUUACGAUCUGAUGCAAGGUUAAGCAGAAAAUGUGGAGCCGUAGCGAAAGCGAGUCUGAAUAGGGCGAAUGAGUAUUUGGUCGUAGACCCGAAACCAGGUGAUCUACCCUUGGUCAGGUUGAAGUUCAGGUAACACUGAAUGGAGGACCGAACCGACUUACGUUGAAAAGUGAGCGGAUGAACUGAGGGUAGCGGAGAAAUUCCAAUCGAACUUGGAGAUAGCUGGUUCUCUCCGAAAUAGCUUUAGGGCUAGCCUCAAGUGAUGAUUAUUGGAGGUAGAGCACUGUUUGGACGAGGGGCCCCUCUCGGGUUACCGAAUUCAGACAAACUCCGAAUGCCAAAUAAUUUAACUUGGGAGUCAGAAUGUGGGUGAUAAGGUCCAUAUUCGAAAGGGAAACAGCCCAGACCACCAGCUAAGGUCCCAAAAUAUAUGUUAAGUGGAAAAGGAUGUGGCGUUGCCCAGACAACUAGGAUGUUGGCUUAGAAGCAGCCAUCAUUUAAAGAGUGCGUAAUAGCUCACUAGUCGAGUGACACUGCGCCGAAAAUGUACCGGGGCUAAACAUAUUACCGAAGCUGUGGAUUGUCCUUUGGACAAUGGUAGGAGAGCGUUCUAAGGGCGGUGAAGCAUGAUCGCAAGGACAUGUGGAGCGCUUAGAAGUGAGAAUGCCGGUGUGAGUAGCGAAAGACGGGUGAGAAUCCCGUCCACCGAUUGACUAAGGUUUCCAGAGGAAGGCUCGUCCGCUCUGGGUUAGUCGGGUCCUAAGCUGAGGCCGACAGGCGUAGGCGAUGGAUAACAGGUUGAUAUUCCUGUACCACCAUUAUUCGUUUUAAGCGAUGGGGGGACGCAGUAGGAUAGGCGAAGCGUGCUGUUGGAGUGCACGUCCAAGCAGUGAGAUUGAGUGUUAGGCAAAUCCGGCACUCUUAAGAUUGAGCUGUGAUGGGGAGAGGAACUUGUUCCUCGAGUCGUUGAUUUCACACUGCCGAGAAAAGCCUCUAGCUAGAAUAACGGUGCCCGUACCGCAAACCGACACAGGUAGUCAAGAUGAGAAUUCUAAGGUGAGCGAGCGAACUCUCGUUAAGGAACUCGGCAAAAUGACCCCGUAACUUCGGGAGAAGGGGUGCUCUUUGAGGUUCACGCUUCGAAGAGCCGCAGUGAAUAGGCCCAAGCGACUGUUUAUCAAAAACACAGGUCUCUGCUAAACCGUAAGGUGACGUAUAGGGGCUGACGCCUGCCCGGUGCUGGAAGGUUAAGAGGAGUGGUUAGCGCAAGCGAAGCUACGAAUCGAAGCCCCAGUAAACGGCGGCCGUAACUAUAACGGUCCUAAGGUAGCGAAAUUCCUUGUCGGGUAAGUUCCGACCCGCACGAAAGGCGUAACGAUUUGGGCACUGUCUCAACGAGAGACUCGGUGAAAUCAUAGUACCGGUGAAGAUGCCGGUUACCCGCGACAGGACGGAAAGACCCCGUGGAGCUUUACUGUAGCCUGAUAUUGAAAUUCGGUACAGUUUGUACAGGAUAGGUAGGAGCCUUAGAAGCGUGAGCGCUAGCUUACGUGGAGGCAUUGGUGGGAUACUACCCUAAUUGUAUUGGAUUUCUAACCCGCAGCACUUAUCGUGCUGGGAGACAGUGUCAGGCGGGCAGUUUGACUGGGGCGGUCGCCUCCUAAAGAGUAACGGAGGCGCUCAAAGGUUCCCUCAGAAUGGUUGGAAAUCAUUCAUAGAGUGUAAAGGCAUAAGGGAGCUUGACUGCGAGACCUACAAGUCGAGCAGGGUCGAAAGACGGACUUAGUGAUCCGGUGGUUCCGCAUGGAAGGGCCAUCGCUCAACGGAUAAAAGCUACCCCGGGGAUAACAGGCUUAUCUCCCCCAAGAGUUCACAUCGACGGGGAGGUUUGGCACCUCGAUGUCGGCUCAUCGCAUCCUGGGGCUGUAGUCGGUCCCAAGGGUUGGGCUGUUCGCCCAUUAAAGCGGUACGCGAGCUGGGUUCAGAACGUCGUGAGACAGUUCGGUCCCUAUCCGUCGUGGGCGUAGGAAAUUUGAGAGGAGCUGUCCUUAGUACGAGAGGACCGGGAUGGACAUACCUCUGGUGUACCAGUUGUCGUGCCAACGGCAUAGCUGGGUAGCUAUGUAUGGACGGGAUAAGUGCUGAAAGCAUCUAAGCAUGAAGCCCCCCUCGAGAUGAGAUUUCCCAACUUCGGUUAU